rnacentral:siRNA from 1 species
AGGAGUGCGUUCGGGAUGUACGUG